AGGACAAGUAGGGGCAUGCUCUGCCUGUGCUUACCCUUGAACCUAUCCCAUGUCUCAAAAAGAGACUCCAAUUCCAUUUGCACAAAAGGGGAUAUUUCAUUACUGAGCUU